rnacentral:rRNA from 1 species
UACGUAGGGUGCGAGCGUUAAUCGGAAUUACUGGGCGUAAAGCGUGCGCAGGCGGUUCGUUGUGUCGGCGGUGAAAGCCCCGGGCUCAACCUGGGAAUGGCCGUUGAAACUGGCGAACUGGAGUGUGGCAGAGGGGGGUGGAAUUCCGCGUGUAGCAGUGAAAUGCGUAGAGAUGCGGAGGAACACCGAUGGCGAAGGCAGCCCCCUGGGCUGACACUGACGCUCAUGCACGAAAGCGUGGGGGAGCAAACAGG